AGUGAACGCUGGCGGUAGGCCUAACACAUGCGAGUCGAACGGCAGCACAGUAAGAGCUUGCUCUUACGGGUGGCGAGUGGCGGACGGGUGAGGAAUACAUCGGAAUCUACUUUUUCGUGGGGGAUAACGUAGGGAAACUUACGCUAAUACCGCAUACGACCUACGGGUGAAAGCAGGGGAUCUUCGGACCUUGCGCGAUUGAAUGAGCGGAUGUCGGAUUAGCUAGUUGGCGGGGUAAAGGCCCACCAAGGCGACGAUCCGUAGCUGGUCUGAGAGGAUGAUCAGCCACACUGGAACUGAGACACGGUCCAGACUCCUACGGGAGGCAGCAGUGGGGAAUAUUGGACAAUGGGCGCAAGCCUGAUCCAGCCAUACCGCGUGGGUGAAGAAGGCCUUCGGGUUGUAAAGCCCUUUUGUUGGGAAAGAAAAGCAGCAGGUUAAUACCCCGCUGUUCUGACGGUACCCAAAGAAUAAGCACCGGCUAACUUCGUG
rnacentral:rRNA from 1 species